AUUUGCAUGUCUUUGCAGCCUCUCUUUCUUGCAGCUCAACUUAAGCGUGAGGAGAAGAGGUCCACCUAGAAGGAACUUUGGUUUCAGAAGAUCAGUCCUUGCCCAUUUCUCUGCCAUGGCCCAACAGUUUCUCUUCCUCCUCUUCUUCCUCACCUGCUUCACUGGUACCUUGGCCCAGUUCACCAUGACUCAACCAGCCUCUUUGUCGGUAUCCCCUGGAGGAACAGUCAGGAUCACCUGUGUCAGGUCAGGUGGCUAUACUGGCUACUAUGUGAGCUGGUAUCAACAGAAAUCUGGUAUGGAACCCGUGCUACUGAUCUAUCAAAACAGUUACAUACCUUCUGGAAUCUCUCAGCAAUUUUCUGGUUCUUUUGAUAUUUCCUCCAAUUCGGCCACUUUGACCAUCUCCAACGUUCAACCAGACAAUGAGGCUGACUAUUACUGUUUGUCUUAUGAUGGCAACUAUCAGUACACAGUGAUUUCACCCUAUGGGGAACUAUAUAAUCCACCACUGGGAAAAAUCCCUUUAAUUUUCGAAGGUGUNCCUCGAGCUCUGAUCUAUGCAACCAGUUCCAGACCAUCGGGGGUUCCAGCCCGUUUCUCUGGAUCCAGAUCAGGGAAUGUGAUGUCCUUGACUAUCACUGGGGCUCUGGUUGAAGAUGAAGCCACCUAUUAUUGUUGCAUCUGGACGGGUAGUCAGUUCCAAAGUGAUUGA